rnacentral:rRNA from 1 species
ACGAGUGGCGAACGGGUGAGUAAAGUAUCGGAACGUACCUUUCAGUGGGGGAUAACGUAGCGAAAGUUACGCUAAUACCGCAUAUUCUGUGAGCAGGAAAGCAGGGGAUCGCAAGACCUUGCGCUGAUUGAGCGGCCGAUAUCAGAUUAGCUAGUUGGUGAGGUAAAGGCUCACCAAGGCGACGAUCUGUAGCGGGUCUGAGAGGAUGAUCCGCCACACUGGAACUGAGACACGGUCCAGACUCCUACGGGAGGCAGCAGUGGGGAAUUUUGGACAAUGGGGGCAACCCUGAUCCAGCCAUGCCGCGUGAGUGAAGAAGGCCUUCGGGUUGUAAAGCUCUUUCGGCCGGGAAGAAAUCGUAUGGGUUAAUACCCUGUGCGGAUGACGGUACCGGCAUAAGAAGCACCGGCUAACUACGUGCCAGCAGCCGCGGUAAUACGUAGCGUGCGAGCGUUAAUCGGAAUUACUGGGCGUAAAGCGUGCGCAGGCGGUUUUGUAAGACAGGCGUGAAAUCCCCGGGCUCAACCUGGGAACUGCGCUUGUGACUGCAAGGCUAGAGUAUGGCAGAGGGGGGUGGAAUUCCACGUGUAGCAGUGAAAUGCGUAGAGAUGUGGAGGAACACCAAUGGCGAAGGCAGCCCCCUGGGCCAAUACUGACGCUCAUGCACGAAAGCGUGGGUAGCAAACAGGAUUAGAUACCCUGGUAGUCCACGCCCUAAACGAUGUCAACUAGGUGUUGGGUGGGUAAAACCAUUUAGUACCGGAGCUAACGCGUGAAGUUGACCGCCUGGGGAGUACGGCCGCAAGGUUAAAACUCAAAGGAAUUGACGGGGACCCGCACAAGCGGUGGAUGAUGUGGAUUAAUUCGAUGCAACGCGAAAAACCUUACCUACCCUUGACAUGUCCAGGAGCCUGAAGAGAUUUGGGUGUGCCCGAAAGGGAACUGGAACACAGGUGCUGCAUGGCUGUCGUCAGCUCGUGUCGUGAGAUGUUGGGUUAAGUCCCGCAACGAGCGCAACCCGUUAAUUGCCAUCAUUUAGUUGGGCACUUUAACGAGACUGCCGGUGACAAACCGGAGGAAGGUGGGGAUGACGUCAAGUCCUCAUGGCCCUUAUGGGUAGGGCUUCACACGUCAUACAAUGGUCGGUACAAAGGGUUGCCAACCCGCGAGGGGGAGCCAAUCCCAGAAAGCCGAUCGUAGUCCGGAUCGCAGGCUGCAACUCGCCUGCGUGAAGUCGGAAUCGCUAGUAAUCGUGGAUCAGCAUGUCACGGUGAAUACGUUCCCGGGUCUUGUACACACCGCCCGUCACACCAUGGGAGCGGGUUCCGCCAGAAGUAGGUAGCCUAACCGCAAGGGGGGCGCUUACCACGGCGGGGUUCGUGACUGGGGUGAAGUCGAAACAAGGUA